UUAAUAAAGUAGUUUUUUUUUUGUAAGAAAAAUAUAUGGAAAAAGAUGUUGUAGAAAGCCGAUGAUACCUAUGUGGGCGACCCCUUCUUCUUCUGAAUCCGGUCAUGACGACGGAAUCCGGCCACGACGACGGUAAAAUGAUUGAUUCAUACUCCCGUGCGACGGUAAAAAAGAUUGAAUCUAAGGAUUUUUAGAUCGUUUCAGGUUAUGCACAUUGUAAUUUUUAGAGAAUCCUAGUCAAUUUUCUUUGGCAUAUAUCAGAAGAAUCAUCUCAUUCUAAAGUGUCUUUCUAGGAGGCACUUAGAAUGUGAAACUACUAUGUGAUGGAAGGGGGCUUGCUUUUCUUUCAUCAGCAUUGCAUUCACCUUUACAAAUAUCUGCAAGAUCUCUUGUCAAUUGCCAAUGUGGCUGAGCAACAUGAAUGUGGGAUUUCUUAGGGCCUCUUCAAGUUAACGUGGAUGAUUCUGUGGAUGAUAUUGUGCGUCAAUUUCGAGGCGUUUCUGAUAGCUUGAUGCGUAAAGUUUUCGGCUAUCCUUCAUAUUCUUCUUAUGAACCUACUACCUCUACUUCAGACAUAAAUUUGUUUUGGAAUGUGGAGAAAUACAUAAACUGGCUUUAACACAAAGCAACUCUGAGUCAGUUAAUAGCUUCUCUUACAAUGAUAACGGUGAAAGAUGGAAGCCACGGGGAUGAGGAAGUAGGACCUAGUUCAGAAGACAAUGGGUGGCAUUCGGACAAUGAGUUGAAUUCAAAAGGAUUUACCCCUUAGGUGGUUUAACGUGACGUAGAGCCAAUAAGUUCUGCGGUGGACUUGAAGAAUGGUUCUGUGCUCCAGCGUGAAUUCUUCAGUUCUGGAGGAUUCCCUGGAGACAAGUUUGGUAGUAGUUCCCAGUUAACAAGAGGAUCCAGUUAACAAGGUAUCUCUUACUUCUUCCCCUGUUUCUACUUCUUUUGAAUGGUAUAUCUUCAUCGGAAAUUUAUUCUGCUGAAUACAUGAAGGAUGACCAAUAGACGUACUACAAGACAUCUGAACUUAGAAAUUGUUUCUUAUCAGAGGGCUGCUAGUAAAUAUAUAUGAGCUCAUCUUUCUUCUGCAUAUUCGGAUAUUUUACUUGUAUGAAGGAGUCGAUUAACAUGCUUUAUUAAGGUUCAUAUUAUGUGUCAGUCUGGUCUAAUCUCAUGUCUGGAAUGCUCCCAGUUGGAUUACUUAUACGGUAGGGCCAGGGUUUACCCGAGGAUAACUUUCGCUUCAGAUAUGGGGCAAUGAAAGGGUGUUAAAGUGAUUUCAGUUUUAGCAUGUGAGAUAUUUACAAGUUAGGUUCUUGUCAGCCUUCUGAACAAAUGAUAUCUACUGUAUUUUAUCUUAUCUGAUAUAUUUCAGUAGGGAUGGCAAUGGGGCUGGUUGAGUCUUAACCUGCUAAAAUUUCAACCUGCCCCACCCACCCUACAUAGCUUUUUUUUCUAUCUUCAACCCACUCGCCUCACCAUGCCCUAUUUUAGUAUCUGUCAUUUUUUUCUUCGUUUUGUUACUUUGCUAAAAAGACAAGUUUACAAAUUAUAUAUCCGGGCAGGGGAAUUCUUGUACGAUUGGGUAGAAAGGGGUAGAUCAUCAUUAAGAACAUGAUUUUAAGCAAGAAAGUCUUACUUUGGUCGUGUCAUUUAAUGUGUUUGGCGUCCAAAGUCAAUGGUAACAGAAUCAAUAGAUGGAGAAUGAAGGAUCACCCUUCCAACUACUUAUGCUCUCAGAAAUUUAAUAAGGCAGGGAGGUUCAUCAGCAUCAUAGCAGUCCAAUGUCAACGGAGGUCCGUCAUUAUUAUACCAGAGUCUGUAUUUAAUGUGGGUUGAGAGAUGUUGGCACAGAAAAUUGAAGUAUUCAUUAAUAGGAGCGGUCCCCCAAAACAGAAGGAAAUUUUACUUCAACCAAAGAGGAGCUCAACCUUUGCAGAAACUAUUACAAGAAACCGAUGGCAGUCAAAAAAUGGGAAUCUGGAAGUUUUGAACAACGAAAACAGAUGUAUCGAGAUUAGUGGUUUUUCUGGUCUUUCGGAGGAGGACAUACUCAACAGAUGUUUUCUGAAGAUUGCUAUGUUGUCCCGGGGUGUCGAGCAAAUGGGGUAACACAGUUGGUGUUUUCAACAUGAACGGGUAUCAAUUUCUUUUCGAAUUCCCCUCUCGAUCUUUAGCAGAGAAAGUCAAGCUUGGCCAGUGGAGUAUGCAGCAAGCUAAACUUGACCUUUCAUGGUGGACUGAAGUCUAGUUUAUUUACAUUCGAAUGUCAAACCAUUAACUGGUCUAUUUCUGUAACAAAUGCUAUAUUUGGUUGGAAAAUUUGGUUUGACCACGAGUUCACUUGCAAAACACUGAAUUGUUUAUGUUUUUCUCUGUUCAUCCUAUAUAUGUGAAUUAAAUCUAGCUUUAUAGAUUUGGUGUUAAAGACAAGGCAAACCGCUACCGUGAUGUGGAAAAAGCCUUACUGAAGAUAGCUAAAAGAGCAAUUUUUGUCAGAAGGUUUCAUCCUACAAUCACUAGUGAACUGACUCUCUUAAUUUGGAAAGACAAGUGAAGUCAACAAACAUGGUAAAAAAUCAAAAAGCUCCAAUAUAUGGAGGCAGCAAGCGUAAAAGGCAAGAAAAAUACCCUUACACUUCAAAAUUCCCUAAACAGACUCGUGCUAACGGUGAAAAUGGCGCAGAAAAAGAGCUGCACUUGAGAAAGAAGACGGCCAUCUCACAGGUCUCACUCCAAAUAUUCCACAAUUUGUGAAAUGCUUGAAAGGCUAUAAUGUGAAAAAGUCCUGCUGCUUCCUGAAAAUUCCCACAGCAUAUACAAAUUACAGGAAUGGAAAGCUACCUAGGAAGGUUUUCCUUAGGAAUCAGUUUAGCAAUAUGUGUUGGCCUGUAAGAGUGAUCAAAAUAGAAAAAGAUUUGUAUUUUCUGAAUGGAUAAAAGAAACUUAUCGAGGACAACAGUCUAGAGUUUGGAAACAUUAUAAUAUUCGAUUAUGAUAGAAAUGAAAUAGUUGACAUAAAAUUACUUGGACCAAAUGGAUGUAUAAAGAAUGAAGCUAAAAUGUGACAACAAGAAGGAAGAAGUGAAUAUUGAACAUCGACAGAGUAUAGAACCAAAAGAGAAAAACAAGACUAGAGAUAACAACAAUAGCUCAUUUGAUGAUGAUAGCACUGAUAACUAACUAUAUGGUAGAAGAAGAAGAUAAUGAUGAAGAAGAGGUGGAAGAAGAUAAUGAACAAGAGGGGGAGGAGAAAGAAACAGAGGAGGAGGUGGAUGAAGGGAAAGAGGAGGAAGUGGUGGAGAGGAAGGAGAAUGAAAUAGAUGGAGAAGACACGUCAGCUUCAAAAGCUGGACGCCGAAAAGCUAUUACUUGCAAGGUGAGGAAUGUGCAUGACAAAUAUGGUGCAGAUAUAUUCAGAAGUGGAUGUGCAACUUAGCUAAAAAAUCCUUACUUUGUAGCAAAAAUGAGAAAUCAACUGUAUGUUCCAAUUGAUGUGGCGAGAGACUACAAACUUAAACUCCAUCCAACCAUGAUCAUUCACGACUCUGUUGGAAGAGAGUUUGAGACAAAAGUCAAUAAUUGGAGUAAUGGAACAACAUGGCUGGUAGGCGGAUGGCGCAAUUUAUGUUGGUGGAAUCUUGUGGAAAAAGAUGACAGGUGUAUUUGUGAAUUUGUGAGGGAAAAAUGUGGCAGAGUCCUUUAAUUGCAAAUUCAAGUUCUCUAUGAAGGAUCAAAUUCUCAUCGCAACAAUAAAUAAAAGAAAUAGUUUAUUACUAUUUAUCAUAGCAUUUUAAUUUUUAUGGCCUUAAGUAUUAUUAUGUAUUGACAAAUUUGAUGACUAUAAGCAUUGUUGUUUGUUGACAAAUUUUGAAGACUCAAAAUAUUGUUGUUUGUUGAAA